GGGCUGAAAAAUAAAUAUCAUUUCAGUGAGAGACAACAUGAUUUCCAAAUUUCCAUUCACGAUGAGGGUUAGGAAGGUGGUGAGGAGUGGGAAAUGGAGACCGGAGUGUGUUCAGUGAUUUCCUACAUUUGUUUGUCUUGGCUUUUCUGCCUGGAGUUGGGUAUGGAUAAUUCUAGACCUCCCUAUUCCUAGCUGAACUCGUCCACCUGAGAGGAUUCUGAGAAUUUACCUUGUGCGGUCAACAAUCCUCAGAGCCAAUGAUAACUCUGGUCUUCAAACAUGUUGCUUAAUUUAUUCAUAAUAACAUUAGAGACCACAAACAAUAUAUAUAUAUAUACACACUAUCUCUAUCUCAAUCUUGCACUCAUUCCUCCAUGUGCUGCAGUCUGGGGUUUGCUCAACCUUUUUGAAUUGUUCUGUCAAGUUUUUCAAUAUGCUGCUAAUUUUCAAAAUGAACAUCAGACUUCUUCCUUUUGAUGCCUGUUACACUUGGUAUACGUGACCCUUCUUUCUCCCAUUUUCUCCUCUUCCCUUUCUGACAGUGCUUUAUCAAAACAUUUCAUGUAUUCCUUGAGUCAAAGUUCUGUCCAUAACCUUCUCAUCUGCUCAAUGGACAUGUCUCAACUGCCAAUAAUCUAUACUUUUUUCUUUAAUUUUAGAUUCACAAACACAUCUGCUAAGACAUGUGGAACUUAAAGUAUUCAAAGCUGAAUGAAUUAUUGUACGACAAGUCCACUGUAUUAUUUACUUAAUUAGUGAUAUCUAGACCAAACUAGAUUCAUCUAAAUUGAACCACUUUAUCUUGCCACAAAUAACGGUAAUGAUAGCAGUGAUUGAUCUCUCUCCUCCCCCAACCUCCUGCCCACCCUUGGGGGAAGUUGGGCAGGAAGGGUGGGGGAGAGGAAGAAAGAGUAACAGAAACCUUUCCACUUUACAGCUUUAAAAUUAUUCCUUCUAACGUGGAUCUACUGAGCGCCAACUUGGUGCUUCUCCCACUCACGCCUGGCCAGGGCGUGUAAUGACUACAGUGUUGGCCGGAUGUUGCUGGUACUCACUAUCUGAUCCAGACAGGGAAACAGUCACGCAUGUUGAACCAUGGGAGAAAGGAAGCAGGAAAACAGCGGGCCAGACAGGGAUGUGCAGAGGGGUUCGAGGUGUUGGAACAGGAGGAAUUGUUUCUACAGAAUUUUGCCUGUCAUACAAAUUAUUUAUCCUCAACCUGAAAGCAAGUGAUGGGUCUUAUAACACACACAGACCCUCCAUAUAUUAGAGCACUUGGAUUGAUGUAUAUAAGAUAUACACAGCCCACUACAGAUCUAUGGGACUGGUUUGAAUCCUUCCUUGAUGAUGAAGAGGACCUAGAAGUGAAGGCUGGUGGAGGCUGUGUGAUGACCAUUGGAGAAAUGCUACCAUCUUUUCUCACAAAACUGGAACGGUUUUCUACCUUGUUUCCAAGAAUUCCAGUUCCAGUUCAAAAGAAUAUUGAUCAACAGAUUAAAACCCGACCUAGAAAAAUUAAGAAAGAAGGGAAGGAAGGCGUUGAGGAAAUAGACAGACAUGUUAAACGCAGAAGUUCAAGGUCUCCAAGGAGAUCUCUGAGUCCACGGAGGUCCCCAAGAAGAUCAAGAAGUAGAAGUCAUCAUUGAGAGGGCCAUGGGUCUUCUAGUUUUGACAGAGAAUUAGAAAGAAUUUGACAGAGAAAGAACGUCAGCGACUAGAGCGUGAAGCCAAAGAAAGGGAGAAAGAACGCCGAAGAUCUCGAGGUAUUGAUCGGGGGUUAGAACAGCAGAAGCAGAAAAAGGCACAGAAGUCGCAGCCGGAGUCAUGAUAGGAAAGGGGAUAGAAGGGACAGGGAUCGGGAAAGAGAAAAAGAAAGUGAGAGAGGUAGAAGACGAGAUCGUGACUAUGAUAAGGAAAGAGGAAACGACCGAGAAAGAGAGAGCGAUCAAGAGAACUGUCCACGGAACAGAGAAGUAGGGGAGAGGUAGAAGACAAGAAACAUAAAGAAGACAAAGAUGACAGGCGGCACAGAGACGACAAAAAAGAUUCCAAGAAAGAAAAAACACAGGAGAAGCAGAAGCAGAGAAAGGAAACACAGAAGUAGGAGUCGAAGUAGAAAUGCAGGGAAACGAAGUAGUAGAAGCAAAAAGAAAUGAAGUAAACAUAAAAAUGAAAGUAAAGAAAAAUCAAAUAAACGAAGUAGAAGUGGCAGUCAAGGAAGAACUGACAGUCUCGAAAAAUCAAAACCAUGGGAACAUAGCCCCAGCAAAGAAAAAUCUACAAAGCGCAGUGGAAGCAAAGAACGUUCCCACAAACGAGAUCACAGUGAUAGUAAGGACCAGUCAGACAAACAUGAUCGUCGAAGGAGCCAAAGUAUAGAACGAGAGAGCCAAGAAAAACAACACAAAAACGAAGAGGAGACUCUGAGAAAAUAUUUUGUACAAGUGGAUCACAUUGAAUCCUAUAAAUGAUUAAAUCUGCUAUUUUUCUCCCAAGUUGAGGCUGUGCAGUAGUUCGCACUCCUCAAGCUCUCCCUGUAGGCUGCAUUUUCAUUUCCUCUUUUGUGUAGGGAAGUGCCUUUGUAAUUCCAUUUACUGCAUUGAUGUUUUCACUCAGUGUUAAGUUUGGUACAUGAUGCACGGAUUGUUCUUGCAUUUUUAUUGCUUGUUUUUGAAAGGUACAGUCUGUACAUAUGUCCGGAAAUGUUUUAAUUCUUUUGGCAUGGUUUCCAUGUUGGUCAAAUUUGUAUAAGGCAAAAAACUGCCACUAAUCUAUCUUUGUUUUGUAGGUGUGGGAUUAUGGCUUGUGUACUGAAGUUAGCAUGGCUGUGCCUUUCAUAAUAGAAUGCUAAAGACUUUGAGAAUGGAUCUUGGAUGUCUGUUAUAGGAGAAAUACGUGCUGUCAAUAGACAGGAAGGCAGCAUUGUAGGAUUAACAUUCUUGUCCAUUGUAUAGUAUCUUGGAAGGCUCUUAUUAAUAUGCUAUGCUUAAUAUUCUCCACAGCUACCCUUAGGGAGAAUUUAUGAGAAGUUAGUUUCUGAUGCAGAGGUUUUUUUGGCUGUGAUUUCAUGAAAAGUCCUUUUAGCAUUUUACCUCAAAGGGACACUUAGUACUCCUAAAAUUUAUUCACUUAGUUUUCCUUUUUUAUUUGAAAAAAUACAUGACAUGUAAUCUUUUUUCUUGAAUUCUUCCUCAGAUUUUGAAGUACUACAUUAAAGAAAAAAAUUAAUGUCUAAAGCCUAGCAUUCUUGCAGAACCCUGUACUAACAUGUUCAGGGAGAUAGUGGGGCAAAUGAGUAGAGAAACAGAUUCAAGCCCCAAGCUUCCAAAACAUUUUUAUAAGUGGAAAAUCCUUAAAUUAUGAAACAGCUCGAUAUAGUGUCUUUUUUUUUAAUUCAGAACUUUUAAAAUUGAUUAUGGAGAUUGCUAUUGGAGUUAAGUUAAUCUAGAAAAGAGGAGUAUUAAAAGUAAUGCUAUGCUGCAUUAUUUAAGACUAUCAGCAAAUUAUUUGAUAGAUUGUUCUUAUGACAUGUAUUCUGAUUACAGAGAACCAUCAUGAGUGUGGAAUAAAUACUGAAUUAAAUCCUUUAUCCUGGGGGAAAAAAAUGAUAGUAGUGAACAUUGAGCAUUAAGUGAGCAUCUAUUAUAUUAUAUAUAUGGCAUUCCAAUGAGCAUUUAACAAACAUUAUUUCAUUUAAUCCUUAAAAUUGCCUUAGGAGAUAAUUGUUAAUGUAAUUCUGAUUUUAUAGACAAGGAAUCUGAAACAUAGAGAGGUGGGGUGUAGUGAUUUGCUAAGGUCACACAGCAAAUUACUACAGAAUUAGUAAGGGGACAGAAUUUGAAGUCAGACUGUAUUCCAGAGCCUACAGUGUUGACCCUCACAAUACAUUACGCACAUAGAAAACCACCAUAUCUCAGUCCAGCGUAUUUCUUCUUCCCCAUAUUUAUUGCCAUAAAGUGAUUUGUCAUCAUCUGUCAGGCAGACCUCUAUAAUAGCUUCCUAAAUUGUUUCCUUUCUCCAAGAAAUUUAUGCCAUGAUUAUAA